rnacentral:rRNA from 1 species
UACGUAGGGGCCUAGCGUUGUCCGGAUUUAUUGGGCGUAAAGAGCUCGUAGGCGGUUUGGUGAGUCGGGUGUGAAAUCUCCACGCUCAACGUGGAGGGGCCACCCGAUACUGCCAUGACUAGAGUCCGGUAGGGGAGUGUGGAAUUCCCGGUGUAGCGGUGAAAUGCGCAGAUAUCGGGAGGAACACCAGUAGCGAAGGCGGCUCACUGGGCCGAGCCUGACGCUGAGACGCGAAGGCGUGGGGAGCGAACGG